GGGAAACAACCCAGACCGCCAGCUAAGGUCCCAAAGUCAUGGUUAAGUGGGAAACGAUGUGGGAAGGCCCAGACAGCCAGGAUGUUGGCUUAGAAGCAGCCAUCAUUUAAAGAAAGCGUAAUAGCUCACUGGUCGAGUCGGCCUGCGCGGAAGAUGUAACGGGGCUAAACCAUGCACCGAAGCUGCGGCAGCGAACGUAUCACCCAAGACAACUUUACGGAGUUGACGAUUGACGGAGCGAAGCGACGUCAAAGCGUUCAUUAAAGUCGAGUUGGCUUAGGGAUACGUUCGUUGGGUAGGGGAGCGUUCUGUAAGCCUGUGAAGGUGUGUCGUGAGGCAUGCUGGAGGUAUCAGAAGUGCGAAUGCUGACAUAAGUAACGAUAAAGCGGGUGAAAAGCCCGCUCGCCGGAAGACCAAGGGUUCCUGUCCAACGUUAAUCGGGGCAGGGUGAGUCGACCCCUAAGGCGAGGCCGAAAGGCGUAGUCGAUGGGAAACGGGUUAAUAUUCCCGUACUUGGUGUUACUGCGAAGGGGGGACGGAGAAGGCUAUGUUGGCCGGGCGACGGUUGUCCCGGUUUAAGCGUGUAGGUGUGUGUUCCAGGUAAAUCCGGUUCACUUUAACACUGAGGCGUGACGACGAGGCACUACGGUGCUGAAGCAACAAAUGCCCUGCUUCCAGGAAAAGCCUCUAAGCAUCAGGUAACACGAAAUCGUACCCCAAACCGACACAGGUGGUCAGGUAGAGAAUACCAAGGCGCUUGAGAGAACUCGGGUGAAGGAACUAGGCAAAAUGGUGCCGUAACUUCGGGAGAAGGCACGCUGACACGUAGGUGAAGUGAUUUACUCAUGGAGCUGAAGUCAGUCGAAGAUACCAGCUGGCUGCAACUGUUUAUUAAAAACACAGCACUGUGCAAACACGAAAGUGGACGUAUACGGUGUGACGCCUGCCCGGUGCCGGAAGGUUAAUUGAUGGGGUCAGCGUAAGCGAAGCUCCUGAUCGAAGCCCCGGUAAACGGCGGCCGUAACUAUAACGGUCCUAAGGUAGCGAAAUUCCUUGUCGGGUAAGUUCCGACCUGCACGAAUGGCGUAAUGAUGGCCAGGCUGUCUCCACCCGAGACUCAGUGAAAUUGAACUCGCUGUGAAGAUGCAGUGUACCCGCGGCAAGACGGAAAGACCCCGUGAACCUUUACUAUAGCUUGACACUGAACAUUGAGCCUUGAUGUGUAGGAUAGGUGGGAGGCUUUGAAGUGUGGACGCCAGUCUGCAUGGAGCCGACCUUGAAAUACCACCCUUUAAUGUUUGAUGUUCUAACGUGGACCCGUAAUCCGGGUUGCGGACAGUGUCUGGUGGGUAGUUUGACUGGGGCGGUCUCCUCCUAAAGAGUAACGGAGGAGCACGAAGGUUGGCUAAUCCUGGUCGGACAUCAGGAGGUUAGUGCAAUGGCAUAAGCCAGCUUGACUGCGAGCGUGACGGCGCGAGCAGGUGCGAAAGCAGGUCAUAGUGAUCCGGUGGUUCUGAAUGGAAGGGCCAUCGCUCAACGGAUAAAAGGUACUCCGGGGAUAACAGGCUGAUACCGCCCAAGAGUUCAUAUCGACGGCGGUGUUUGGCACCUCGAUGUCGGCUCAUCACAUCCUGGGGCUGAAGUAGGUCCCAAGGGUAUGGCUGUUCGCCAUUUAAAGUGGUACGCGAGCUGGGUUUAGAACGUCGUGAGACAGUUCGGUCCCUAUCUGCCGUGGGCGCUGGAGAACUGAGGGGGGCUGCUCCUAGUACGAGAGGACCGGAGUGGACGCAUCACUGGUGUUCGGGUUGUCAUGCCAAUGGCACUGCCCGGUAGCUAAAUGCGGAAGAGAUAAGUGCUGAAAGCAUCUAAGCACGAAACUUGCCCCGA
rnacentral:rRNA from 1 species